GAUCAUGGCUCAGGAUGAACGCUAGUGACAGGCUUAACACAUACAAGUCGAGGGGCAGCGCGGGAGUCAGCUUGCUGACUUCUGGCGGCGACCGGCGCACGGGUGAGUAACACGUAUGCAACCUGCCCGCCAUAGGGGGAUAACCGGGAGAAAUCCCGACUAAUACCGCGUAGUCCGGAUGGAGGCAUCUCCGUACGGGGAAAGGAGCGAUCCGGUGGCGGAUGGGCAUGCGGCGCA
rnacentral:rRNA from 1 species